rnacentral:tRNA from 1 species
GGGCCUGUAACUCAGCCUGGUCAGAGUGCCAGUCUUAUAAACUGGAAGGCCGGGGUUCGAAUCCCCGCAGGCCCA